UGGCCUACGGGGCGCAGCAGUGGGGAAUAUUGCACAAUGGGGGAAACCCUGAUGCAGCGACGCCGCGUGAGUGAAGAAGUAAUUCGUUACGUAAAGCUCUAUCAGCAGGGAAGAAACACUGACCUUACGGUCAGCAGACGGUACCUGAGUAAGAAGCCCCGGCUAACUACGUGCCAGCAGCCGCGGUAAUACGUAGGGGGCAAGCGUUAUCCGGAUUUACUGGGUGUAAAGGGAGCGUAGACGGCGCGGCAAGUCUGAAGUGAAAGGCAGGGGCUUAACCCCUGAACUGCUUUGGAAACUGGCAU
rnacentral:rRNA from 1 species